rnacentral:rRNA from 2 species
AGGACGAACGCUGGCGGCGUGCCUAAUACAUGCAAGUCGAACGAACUCUGGUAUUGAUUGGUGCUUGCAUCAUGAUUUACAUUUGAGUGAGUGGCGAACUGGUGAGUAACACGUGGGAAACCUGCCCAGAAGCGGGGGAUAACACCUGGAAACAGAUGCUAAUACCGCAUAACAACUUGGACCGCAUGGUCCGAGCUUGAAAGAUGGCUUCGGCUAUCACUUUUGGAUGGUCCCGCGGCGUAUUAGCUAGAUGGUGGGGUAACGGCUCACCAUGGCAAUGAUACGUAGCCGACCUGAGAGGGUAAUCGGCCACAUUGGGACUGAGACACGGCCCAAACUCCUACGGGAGGCAGCAGUAGGGAAUCUUCCACAAUGGACGAAAGUCUGAUGGAGCAACGCCGCGUGAGUGAAGAAGGGUUUCGGCUCGUAAAACUCUGUUGUUAAAGAAGAACAUAUCUGAGAGUAACUGUUCAGGUAUGACGGUAU